GCCUGGUGGUGGGAACACACAAAAUGGAGGGCUGUUUUCUGGAGCCAGUGAUUCAUAAGGGGGCAAAGAGAAUGGCGAGCUAAGACUAUAUGGUUCUACAUUUGAUGAGAAAACGAUUUUGUUACUGCAAUGCCACAAGAUGUGACGAAAGAGGCUUCUGAUUAUGGGUCCAGUGUUGCACUCCAACUUCAGUGCAGUGAAAGACUCAAAGGUGGAACAAUGUGAGGUUUUUAUAUAAAGAAUACAUAGGCUUGGCCAGAGUAAAGGAAGAGUAGACAAGAGGGUUCUGUUUGGGAUAAAGAUUGAUUCUUUGGUUGGAGAUGUGAGCAUGAAGGCAUGCCAAAAGUGCAGAAAAGUUGUCACAAAUGCGAGUAUUUUAUGGGAAUUGGCUCACCGGCUCAACAAUGUCCUUUUCAGGGAGUUUUUAUAACUGCAUUUCAUGUUGGUAUAUAUGCUUACUUCCUCAUUGGAAAA